rnacentral:rRNA from 1 species
GACGAACGCUGGCGGCGUGCUUAACACAUGCCAGUCGAACGGAAAGGCCCUGCUUUUGUGGGGUGCUCGAGUGGCGAACGGGUGAGUAACACGUGCGUAACCUGCCCUUGACUUUGGGAUAACUUCAGGAAACUGGGGCUAAUACCGGAUAGGAGCUCCUGCUGCGUGGUGGGGGUUGGAAAGUUUCGGCGGUUGGGGCUGGACGCGCGGCUUAUCAGCUUGUUGGUGGGGUAGUGGCUUACCAAGGCUUUGACGGGUAGCCGGCCUGAGAGGGUGACCGGCCACAUUGGGACAGAGAUACAGCCCAGACUCCUGCGGGGGGCAGCAGGGGGGAAUAUGGCACAAUGGGCGGAAGCCUGAUGCAGCAACUCCGCGUGCGGGAUGACGGCCUUCGGGUUGUAAACCGCUUUCGCCUGUGACGAAGCGUGAGUGACGGUAAGGGGUAAAGAAGCACCGGCUAACUACGUG